rnacentral:rRNA from 1 species
AUUGAACGCUGGCGGCAGGCCUAACACAUGCAAGUCGAGCGAGCGGCGGACGGGUGAGAAAUGUCUGGGAAACUGCCUGAGGGAGGGGGAUAACUACUGGAAACGGUAGCUAAUACCGCAUACCAUCAGAUGUGCCCAGCUGGGAGUAGCGAGUAGGUGGGGUAACGGCUCACCUCGGCGACGAUCCCUCGCUGGUCUGAGAGGAUGACCAGCCACCGUGGAACGAGGACACGGUCCAGACUCCUACGGGAGGCAGCAGUGGGGAAUAUUGCACAAUGGGCGCAAGCCUGAUGCAGCCAUGCCGCGUGUGUGAAGAAGGCCUUCGGGUUUUAAAGCACUUUCAGCGGGGAGGCGUUACCCGCAGAAGAAGCACCGGCUAACUCCGUGCCAGCAGCCGCGGUAAUUC